rnacentral:rRNA from 1 species
ACGAGGUAUUGCCCUAGCUAACGGCGAGUGAACAGGCAAGAGCUCAGAUUUGAAAGGCACUUUUGUGCCGUUGUAUUCUGAAGUUAGGGUCCUGAGAAACGAUGCUUAAGUCUUCUGGAAAGGAGCGCCAUGGAGGGUGAUAGCCCCGUCUAGCAUUGACCUCAUAUAGGAUCUUAACAUGGAGUCGAGUUGUUUGGGAAUGCAGCUCAAAUGGGUGGUAUGCUCCAUCUAAAGCUAAAUAUCUGCGAGAGACCGAUAGUAAACAAGUACUGUGAGGGAAAGAUGAAAAGAACUUUGAAAAGAGAGUGAAAAAGUACGUGAAAUUGUUGAAAUGGAAGGGUAGGCCGCUAACCAUGUAGAGCCGUGUUUGGGGGGAAGAUAAAUGCUGUAGAAUGUAGCUCCUCGGAGUAUUAUAGAUGCAGUUCAUAUUCCCACCCGAGCGCGAGGAUCUCAGGUUCUACUAAAUGGUGGUCUACCACCCGUCUUGAAC